CUCCAGUCCUCGUGUGCCUAAUUGAUUUUUCUGCAUCCCUAGCAAACACAGCUGAUUAAUCAAAUUGCAUUCUAAACUGAAGCUCAUGAUUAGGUGAUUAUUGGAGUCAGGCGUGUUAUUUGGGGCUGGGGAAAAACUGUGACACCAAUCAGGCACUUGAUGACUGGAACUGCCCACCCCUGCGUAUAGUAGACAGCUGUGGCUGACUGAAUGGAUGAACAACUAUAUGAGAUGAUGAACAACUAUCUUUCCUCAUAGUUUACCUCCAUCUACCAUGGCAGGAGGGAUACUGCUGGUUUCAGGUGAACACACACACCAGAAUAUAGAGCUUUGUCUGUUUAAUUCACAUUUUACUGUGUGUGUAGGACACCCUGGUAGAUGCUGACAUGGCCAAAAAUGUCGUGAUGUGGCAGAAUGGAAGCAUGUGUGGUCUGGACCACUGGAACUUUGUCAUGCAUCCUGUUGACGCGGCUAUGACCUGUGACCCUAACGGAAGUUACGCCAGGACGUGGUGUCCUGAGCUGGCUGCUGUGCCUGAUGACAUACACAAACCCUGUAAGUGUCCAGCCUCCAUGCUGCGCCACACCGAAGUGUGAGUGUUACACUUCCCUUAUUGCUCUACACUGACAGAUCUGGAGGAAAGGAGCCUCUCUCUGCAGGACGUGAAGUUGGUGAGGAGGCAUUUUGGGGAGUAUGUGGACCUGGUCCCCCCCCCCUGGUCUCGGAGGCCCUGGGUGUUCAUCAACUCACUGCUUCUAUUGUAUUGUGUCUCAUGAGUGGUCCUCAGUACUAUUUUUCCUGUAUGAUUUAUUCUCUUUUUUUUAAAGCCUUUAGCCAUUUUAUAGUGGUGUGUAUUUUAUGUACAAAUGUCGCACUGGGAAUUUUGCUAAAUUGAGUGAGUGACAACUUCUCUCUCAGGGAUUCGUAGUCAACACAGAUAGGCAGUUCCUCCUGCCUGUCAUCACCCGCAUGGAGUUCAAACACAAAUCAGACGAUCAAGACCCGGACGCUGCCUCUAACCCCCAUGUGAGUUGCAGGCGGGAUGAGACCAUCGCCUUCCUGAACCAGACAGACUUCAUGACCAGCGUGAUGAAAGAGGGGAGGGAGAGACAGGAGAGACCAGAGAAAGAUAGAGGGACUGGCACACCCCCAUUUGACCUGGGGAAGGGUUAGGAGGACCCCUGCUGCUAAGGCCAGGUUAUCCUCUGUGCCUGGGGGAGUGGCUACGUUUCACAGAUGACCAAGAGGGCAGGGGUUAAAGAUCAGCCUACACUGAUAGAACUGUUGCAAAACUAGGUACCACAUCAUGGGUUAGAGUUUAAGGGUACACCAAGCCAGUUGUACAACUGAAUGCAUUCAACUGCAAUGUGAAACAAACUCCUUUGAAUCAGAGGUGUGGGGGGGCUGCCUUAAUCGACAUCCAUGUCAUCGGUGCAGGAACAGUGUGGUUAGUCUGUGUAACAAGGACAAACUGCUGUUUAAAUGAAUUGGUUUACAUCUUCGUCCUUUACCAAUCAUAAUUCAGUAAUGCAGGCUGAAUCAACUGCAAGCACUGCUACUAGGUGCCAUUGUGUUAAAGUGCAAUAUUUGUGCUAAGGAAUUCAAGCAAAUAUAAACAUGAAUGAAAAUACAAUCUUUAAGUGCUGUCUUUCCAAACUAGUAUCAGAGGCUACACAGACAUCUCAGUAAAAGUACCCAGGGGGGAUGAAGUGGACAUGACUUGCACUAAGUAAACACAAGGAAGUGCAAGUCAGGAGUUUUAUUUGUACGUAAUCUUCAGUGCCAGUACAUGCUGUGCAUACAGACGCACAACAUACAGUAGAAACCAGCCUGCUCCAGAUCCAAAGUGCUUUAUUAUUACCCCUUCCCCCUCCCCUACCAGAUGGACUGAUCCAGACAGCUGUAUUUGAUAGUCCUCAGAAUUGCACUAUUUUUCCCAGUAGUGUUGUCGUGAUGCUGCAUUCAUAACCAAGUGGGAAGGUGGUAUUUACCACACACAACUGGGAAAAAUCCACUUAAACCCCCCUACAACUCAAUCAUCCCA